rnacentral:rRNA from 1 species
UACGUAGGCAGCGAGCGUUGUUCGGAGUUACUGGGCGUAAAGGGUGUGUAGGCGGUUUGGUAAGUCUGGUGUGAAAUCUCCCGGCUCAACUGGGAGGGUGCGCCGGAAACUGCCGACUAGAGUGCGGUAGAGGGUAGUGGAAUUCCCGGUGUAGCGGUGAAAAUGCGUAGAGAUCGGGAGGAACACCAGUGGCGAAGGCGGCUACCUGGACCAGCACUGACACUGAGGCACGAAAGCGUGGGGAGCAAACAGGG